GACGAACGCUGGCGGCGUGCUUAACACAUGCAAGUCGAACGGUGAAGGGGUCUGCUUUUGUGGGCCCUGGAUGAGUGGCGAACGGGUGAGUAACACGUGAGUAACCUGCCCCCUUCUUCUGGAUAACCGCAUGAAAGUGUGGCUAAUACGGGAUAUUCUGGGUCUGUAGCAUGAUGGGUCUGGGAAAGAUUGCGCCUUUGGGUGUUUUUGGUGGGGGAUGGGCUCGCGGCCUAUCAGCUUGUUGGUGGGGUGAUGGCCUACCAAGGCGGUGACGGGUAGCCGGCCUGAGAGGGUGGACGGUCACACUGGGACUGAGACACGGCCCAGACUCCUACGGGAGGCAGCAGUGGGGAAUAUUGCACAAUGGGCGCAAGCCUGAUGCAGCGACGCCGCGUGAGGGAGGGAGGCCUUCGGGUUGUAAACCUCUUUCGCCAGUGAAGCAGGCCUGCUCCUUGUGGGUGGGUUGACGGUAGCUGGAUAAGAAGCGCCGGCUAACUACGUG
rnacentral:rRNA from 1 species